rnacentral:rRNA from 1 species
GAUGAACGCUGGCGGCGUGCCUAAUACAUGCAAGUCGAGCGAACAGACGAGGAGCUUGCUCCUCUGACGUUAGCGGCGGACGGGUGAGUAACACGUGGAUAACCUACCUAUAAGACUGGGAUAACUUCGGGAAACCGGAGCUAAUACCGGAUAAUAUAUUGAACCGCAUGGUUCAAUAGUGAAAGACGAUUUUGCUGUCACUUAUAGAUGGAUCCGCGCCGCAUUAGCUAGUUGGUAAGGUAACGGCUUACCAAGGCAACGAUGCGUAGCCGACCUGAGAGGGUGAUCGGCCACACUGGAACUGAGACACGGUCCAGACUCCUACGGGAGGCAGCAGUAGGGAAUCUUCCGCAAUGGGCGAAAGCUUGACGGAGCAACGCCGCGUGAGUGAUGAAGGUCUUCGGAUCGUAAAACUCUGUUAUUAGGGAAGAACAAAUGUGUAAGUAACUAUGCACGUCUUGACGGUACCUAAUCAGAAAGCCACGGCUAACUACGUG